UGGGGAAUAUUGCGCAAUGGGGGGAACCCUGACGCAGCCAUGCCGCGUGAAUGAAGAAGGCCUUCGGGUUGUAAAGUUCUUUCGGUAUUGAGGAAGGUUGAUGUGUUAAUAGCACAUCAAAUUGACGUUAAAUACAGAAGAAGCACCGGCUAACUCCGUGCCAGCAGCCGCGGUAAUACGGAGGGUGCGAGCGUUAAUCGGAAUAACUGGGCGUAAAGGGCACGCAGGCGGUUAUUUAAGUGAGGUGUGAAAGCCCUGGGCUUAACCUAGGAAUUGCAUUUCAGACUGGGUAACUAGAGUACUUUAGGGAGGGGUAGAAUUCCACGUGUAGCGGUGAAAUGCGUAGAGAUGUGGAGGAAUACCGAAGGCGAAGGCAGCCCCUUGGGAAUGUACUGACGCUCAUGUGCGAAAGCGUGGGGAGCAAACAGGAUUAGAUACCCUGGUAGUCCACGCUGUAAACGCUGUCGAUUUGGGGGUUGGGGUUUAACUCUGGCGCCCGUAGCUAACGUGAUAAAUCGACCGCCUGGGGUGUACGGCCGCAAGGUUA
rnacentral:rRNA from 1 species